UGCUAGUCGCACGAGUUCAGACUCGUGGCAGAUAGCUCAGUAACACGUGGCCAAACUACCCUGUCGAUCGGGACACCCUCGGGAAACUGAGGCUAAUCCCGGAUACGGCUCGCUGCCUGGAGUUGGCGCGAGCUCGAAACGUUCAGGCGCGACAGGAUGUGGCUGCGGCCGAUUAGGUAGACGGUGGGGUAACGGCCCACCGUGCCGAUAAUCGGUACGGGUUGUGAAAGCAAGAGCCCGGAGACGGAAUCUGAGACAAGAUUCCGGGCCCUACGGGGCGCAGCAGGCGCGAAACCUUUACACUGCACGCGAGUGCGAUAGGGGGACUCCAAGUGCGAGGGCAUACAGUCCUCGCUUUUUGCGACCGUAAGGAGGUCGCGGAAUAAGUGCUGGGCAAGACCGGUGCCAGCCGCCGCGGUAAUACCGGCAGCACGAGUGAUGACCGCUAUUAUUGGGCCUAAAGCGUCCGUAGCCGGCCAGGCAAGUCCAUCGGGAAAUCCGCACGCCUAACGUGCGGGCGUCCGGUGGAAACUGCUUGGCUUGGGACCGGAAGAUCCAGAGGGUACGUCCGGGGUAGGAGUGAAAUCCUGUAAUCCUGGACGGACCACCGGUGGCGAAAGCGCUCUGGAAAGACGGAUCCGACGGUGAGGGACGAAAGCUUGGGUCACGAACCGGAUUAGAUACCCGGGUAGUCCAAGCUGUAAACGAUGUCUGCUAGGUGUGGCACAGGCUACGAGCCUGUGCUGUGCCGUAGGGAAGCCGUGAAGCAGACCGCCUGGGAAGUACGUCUGCAAGGAUGAAACUUAA
rnacentral:rRNA from 1 species